GACGAACGCUGGCGGCGUGCCUAAUACAUGCAAGUCGAACGAGUGGCGGACGGGUGAGUAACAAGUGGGACCCUACCCAUCAGAGGGGGAUAACACUUGGAAACAGGUGCUAAUACCGCAUACUGAUGGAUGGACCCGCGGUGCAUUAGCUAGUUGGUGAGGUAAUGGCUCACCUAGGCGACGAUCCCUAGCUGGUCUGAGAGGAUGACCAGCCACACUGGAACUGAGACACGGUCCAGACUCCUACGGGAGGCAGCAGUGGGGAAUAUUGCACAAUGGGCGCAAGCCUGAUGCAGCCAUGCCGCGUGUGUGAAGAAGGCCUUCGGGUUGUAAAGCACUUUCAGCGGGGAGGCGUUACCCGCAGAAGAAGCACCGGCUAACUACGUGCCAGCCGCCGCGGUAAUUC
rnacentral:rRNA from 1 species